rnacentral:snRNA from 1 species
GUGCUCGCUUCGGCAGCACAUAUACUAAAAAUUGGAACGAUACAGAGAAGAUUAGCAUGGCUCCUGCGCAAGGAUGAUACGCAAAUUCGUGAAGCAUUCCAUAUUUUU